rnacentral:rRNA from 1 species
ACUCCUACGGGAGGCAGCAGUGAGGAAUCUUCCACAAUGGACGAAAGUCUGAUGGAGCGACACCGCGUGAAGGAUGAAGGUCUAACGGUUGUAAACUUCUUUUCUGAAGGAGCAUAAUGAGAGUACUUCAGGAAUAAGGGAUGGCUAAAUACGUGCCAGCAGCCGCGGUAAUACGUAUGUCUCAAGCGUUACCCGGAAUCACUGGGUGUAAAGGGUUCGUAGGCGGAAAUUUAAGUCAGGUAUGAAAGACCGGAGCUCAACUCCGAGUUUGUGCUUGAAACUGGAUUUCUAGAAUUAGGGAGAGGUAAGCGGAAUUCUAAGUGUAGGGGGUGCAAUCCGUAGAUACUUAGAGGAACACCAAAAGCGAAGGCAGCUUACUGGAACUAUAUUGACGCUGAUGAACGAAAGCGUGGGUAGCGAAAAGGAUUAGAUA